GCGCUCUAAACAGCAUGCCAAACCAACAGGAAGCGAUAUAACCCUUACCCUAAAGCCAUGUUGGCUAAUCAGAAGCCUGA